rnacentral:ncRNA from 2 species
AGAUUCUUUCGGGGUUUUUUGCGUAAGUCAAAAUCGGUAGUAAUCCCGACUUAGAUCGGGAAAACUCUACGACCCGCCAUAAGCGAGGACGAGCAAGGUGAAAUUCCUUCAGCGACCGUAUAGUCGGGAGGAAAGAAAGAAUAU